AACGAUUCAACCCUCCCAGCAAUGUCACCGUACGUUGCAACACGACGCACUGCCUCGUACGGUGGAAACAGCCCAGGACCUAUCAGAAGCUGUCAUACCUGGACUUUCAGUACCAGCUGGACGUCCACAGAAAGAAUACCCAGCCUGGCACGGAAAACCUGCUGAUUAAUGUUUCUGGUGAUUUGGAAAAUAGAUACAACUUUCCAAGCUCUGAGCCCAGAGCAAAACACAGUGUGAAGAUCAGAGCUGCAGACGUCCGCAUCUUGAAUUGGAGCUCCUGGAGUGAAGCCAUUGAAUUUGGUUCUGACGACGGGAACCUCGGCUCUGUGUACAUUUACGUGCUCCUGAUCGUGGGAACCCUUGUCUGUGGCAUCAUCCUCGGCUUCCUCUUUAAAAGGUUCCUUAGGAUACAGCGGCUGUUCCCGCCAGUUCCACAGAUCAAAGACAAACUGAAUGAUAACCAUGAGGUGGAAGACGAG
rnacentral:sRNA from 1 species